UACGUAGGGGGCAAGCGUUGUCCGGAUUCAUUGGGCGUAAAGAGCGUGUAGGCGGCCAGGUAGGUCCGCUGUGAAAACUCGAGGCUCAACCUCGAGCUGUCGGUGGAAACCGUGUGGCUAGAGUCCGGAAGAGGAGAGUGGAAUUCCCGGUGUAGCGGUGAAAUGCGCAGAUAUCGGGAAGAACACCCGUGGCGAAGGCGGCUCUCUGGGACGGUACUGACGCUGAGACGCGAAAGCGUGGGGAGCGAACAGG
rnacentral:rRNA from 1 species